AACGAACGCUGGCGGCGUGGAUAAGACAUGCAAGUCGAACGGGAACUUCAGCUGUAGCAAUACAGUUGAAGUUUUAGUGGCGAACGGGUGCGUAACACGUGGGCAAUCUGCCGAGAAGUGGGGGAUAGCUCGCCGAAAGGCGAAUUAAUACCGCAUAUGAUCAGCUAAGACAUCUUAGCGACAUCAAAGCCGGGGCAACCUGGCGCUUUUUGAGGAGCCCGCGGCCUAUCAGCUAGUUGGUGAGGUAACGGCUCACCAAGGCUAUGACGGGUAGCUGGUCUGAGAGGACGACCAGUCACACUGGAACUGAGACACGGUCCAGACACCUACGGGUGCAGCAGUCGAGUAAUUUUUCUCAAUGGGCGAAAGCCUGAAGGAGCGACGCCGCG
rnacentral:rRNA from 1 species